rnacentral:lncRNA from 1 species
UGGGGCUAUUGUUGACACCAGGCCACCUCGAGUAACGCGGAGAAAACCCAGCUCUGCACAAGGGCAUAAUGUUAUGUUCCUGAGGUAAUCUGUCGGAUAAGGAUUACCGUUCAUUUUUCUGAAUCUGAUGCGAGGAAUAAGACCACAGCCCAAAGGAGAUUACUAGUAUUUGAAACAUCAGUACAUCAUCAAACAUAGUACAUAUACACUGUACGGAGAACAUAUGUCAAUCAGGUCUCCUUUCGCCGACGAACCAACUAGAAGCCGCUGAAGGGCAAGAAGCAAGUCACCACGUCCUGUCCUGGCACUGUUGUGUGAUCUAAUGGAGCCUUUUUGAUUCUGAACACGAUGACCUUUGACAGGCACUAAUGGGAAUGGUCUAGAUGACGCGUGGCACACCGUGAUUUUAAUACACAGGAUAUCAAAGAUAUUGUUAUCAUCUGCGUGUGUGAAAUUAAUUAGGGCACCGGGACCGAGAAAGUGCCGGUUUAUUGGCAUUAGUGCAUUUACGCAGACCUGUUCCUUGCGGUAAGUUGGAAUUUAAUAACCCUACCUAGCCCAGAAGCCGCUGACAGGCAAAUUGAAUAAAUUGUCAUCGCUCAAGCAGGCGUUGUUUUCAAGCUUCACAUCGAAAACCAGGAACUGUCACUAUGGGAACGGUGGAUUGUAUUAUUGCGCAUGACUCUAUGAAGUGCUGAAUAGUUUGUCGGGUCCACUCGUUGCACGAGGCUCUAUUGGUGAAAACAUUUCAUUACCGUUCAGCACGCUGUUUCCCCAGCUUCAGUCGAUUACUUCACGGAGCAGACGACAGACCACACGCGGACUCGGGAGCCGGAGCAGACGAUCUCUCUCACUCUCCCUCCAAAAUGAUACGAAACCAUAUACGCAAGAGUCACGAUCCCAAAAGACGGGCGAGCUUGUGUUUAUCCUCAGAACCGAACCCCAUACUUAACGAUGGGGUGAGAAGAAGGGGAUCCCUCUUCACCCCAACGGGGCCUCUCCUGACUGUUCCCCCUGUAAGCGACCAGAGACGGAGCUCAUUCCCAGGGAUGGGUUCGGGAUUUCCAGUGACAACAAACGGUGACAUUAGCCGGCGACGAUCCUCGAGUGUCACUCCGGACAAGACUGGUGGAUUUACAGACAUAAAUGGUCAACCAAACUGUAGGUCACUAAAAAUUGUUGUGUCAACUAUUGGAGUAUUUCUUCUGGCUGUCUUAGUAUAUUCCUUCGUGAGACUUGUCACAUGAGAAGCGACGUAAACCAACUCCAAGAUGUUCUAAAACGGAUACUUUCAAGGGACCAAACUGAAGAUUGUGAUCUAUUAUCAGCUGUAUAUAAUAUUUUUGCACGUUUGCCUGUAAAUACCAACAACCAUUUUUCCAUGUAACGUAAUGACGUGAAUUGUUGUCGUCAAGGUGAACAGGUGGAUGUUAUGUAUAUUUGAACGACAAGUGUACCUGGGACGUCAACACAAACCUGCAGUCACUUUAAUGGAUGUGUGCAUCAGCUUUAUUCUUAAUGGAUGCUACCGUAAUUGCAAAAUUGCGAAAAAUUAAAUUUGCCGAGGUGGAGACGACGCUCGUCCCGAUCGAUAGAACAGAAUGUUCUGAAGGAAACAAUGUGCCACAUGUUCGUAAGGUACCAAACUUCUACCAUUCGAGAGACUGGCCUGCAUCUAUCGGAAUCUGGUUUUCAAGGAACCAUUGUGAUUGUUCGGAGUUCUUGGGAAGGAGCUGUAAUACGUGACGUAACUCUCACAACGGAAGACGGAUGAGCGGUGUGCAUUUCAGGAGCCUGAUCAUCCUGCCCUGGAUGGGUGGUAGUGUUCAAGACAGAGAUAACACGAUGCGAUUUUCACCUCGGCGUGACCUGCACGGACAACCUGUUCAGUUGUUAUAACAGGUAUCUGUAGGUAUAUAAAUAGAUGAACUUUGAACUCGGUCGGGGCAGAAUGGAAGGCAAUUUGUCCUAUACUUAAUAGCUGAUUACAACAAUAUCGACCCAUCUGUAAUCGUUCCAUUUAGUGUUAAGUCACACGUACUUUUAAGACGGCAAGCGUUUUUCAAAAUUAACUCAAGUUUGGACGCAUUGUGUUUUAAGGUCAACAUAAAUUGCCAGACAAAAGAAAUUAUGUACUUGAAAAUUAGAUCUGACGCAAGCAUUCACAUUAUAAAAUCAGCUUCGGGUCCAAAACAUAAUUAUGAUACCCAAAUCAAAUACAUGACCAUUACUUGUUUGUUUUAUUUUAGCCACCACUAGGUGUAUAUUUUAUUUUGUCUUGCAGUAAUGUUUAUAACUAAUAUUAGCUAGAUUGGUCAUCAGAUUAAAGAUGUGACGGUAUUUUGAAUUCUGAGAUUAAUUUAAGAUGGAAACCAUGUUAAUCCAGACUACACGUCAAGUCGACUCUCCCAGAAUACCUAAUCAUGAUUCGUAGUAUCUCACUAAAGUACGUCCUGGAGAUACGAAUAGUAAUUACGUUGAAGGCGUGGUUCUGGAUUAACAGGGUCCGGGUUAAGAAAGUUUCGUUGUACACAAUGUCUGUCUUCUAUGAGUAUAAAAUGUGCAUAUAUGAUGAUAAACUAACACGCGUAAAAACAUUAAAAUAGAAGCUUUC